GGUCUACCAUAAAUACAUCUAAUCGUAAGUUACUUGAAAACCAAGCGGGGAUUUAAUCUAAGCGUUUCGUAAUUUGUCGGACGUAAGAAAAAAGUCCGUCAAAUUAAAUUUCGCGGCUUGCUUAUUACACGAGCGACGGAAAUGGAUUAGAGCGGAAACGGAAACGACCGUGGUGAAUCUAAUUGCAUCACCAAUAACCGAUGGCAGCGAUGCCGAAUUAACCUACAAAGUAAAAACUGAAAACAAACAAACAAACCAGUCAAAAUUGAAAUAAUUUAAUUGAAUUUGCUACUGAUUACUUAGAGUAUUUAAUUGAUUUAUACUGUUUUACCCUUUAUAAUCAUAUUUUUCUUAUAUUACUGGAAACUUACUGGUAAAAAUCUUUUGAAAAUAUAUAGGUAUUUAUCUUUGAAUCCAAUGUUACUGCUGGUCACCGUAACCAUUAUCAAUCAAACUAAACCUACAAUGAAGAAGGCUGUUACUUUGAAUUGAAACUGAUACAAAAUCAAAGGACGAGAUGAGUUAUCCCUACAAGGCACCUAGCAUGGCAGAAAUUUUCCCAUUGUCAUACCAGCAACCGAAGAGUUCAAAAAAUUUUAUCAAGGAAAAUAUCAGAAAAGUGAAAGGAGUCAAAAGUAAAACUAGUGAAACUGGCUCUAGGAUGUCGGUGGAUUCCAGCUGCAAAGGAUUUCCACCAUUUAAAUCUGCUGUACGGUCCAGAGGCGAAUUCGGCAGCCAGUCUUUCGAUUCUUUGCGAAAACCUCUCAUUGAAAAACAGAAGCUGACAAAACAUGCUGAACAACUAAUUGAGAAAACCCGCUCGGAAAUUUGCUCAAAAAUUUCCUCAGCUAGUACUCGCAAAAAUUAUUCUGAUAAAGAAUGUCAAACAUAUGAAAUGGAAAAUUUACGAAUAGGCGAUCAAGACAAACCUGCAUCAGCAGCCAGCUCAGCACGGAGCAUAGGUUUACAGACAGAUAUUCUGGAAAAUAUUAACAAGACUGAUAACUUUAGGACGGCCCCUAGUUCCAAAAUAAAAUCACCUCGCUCUAAAAAGAAGAGCUUGUGUGGAGUAAAGUCAAGUGAUGAAACCCUAAAGACCAAUCGUUCUUCAAAUAAUUUACCAUCCAAGAAUAGCGUACCUGAAUCUUAUCAAAGAGGAACCAUACCAAAGUAUAUACAGGAGAAAAAGUUACAAAAAGAGCAAGAAGAAAUGGAGAAGAAGAAAAUGGCGCAAAUGCUAGGAACUGAUGAUCCUGACUGUCCUCCAGGCCAUGUUAGACUGCCAGAUGAUAAACGGAAAGAAACUCUUCAAUUAAUUAAAAACAAAUAUGAUCAGUUAUUACUAGAAUUGAACGGACUACCUGUGAGAUCGGAUUCUUACAGGAUUAAGAAACAUAGGACAUUCUUGGAAAAGGAGCUAGAGAAAAUGGAAGCCGGACUAAAAACAUUUUCUCGUGAAAAGUUAUUUGUAAAAAUAGCUCCAUAAUUCUGCAACAUCAAUCCUCUCACCUCUGUUUCCUCCUACUUUUAUGCUUUCUCUCACUGCCCACCAUAAAUUUUAUGUGACGAUAAGAUGAAAUUAUUGUGUGAUAUUGUGUGAUAAUGAACAAAUAAAAAUUGUAUUUUGAUCAAAAAUGAUAU
rnacentral:lncRNA from 1 species